rnacentral:rRNA from 1 species
CCUACGGGGGGCUGCAGUUAGGAAUUUUGCGCAAUGGGGGAAACCCUGACGCAGCAAUGCCGCGUGAGUGAUGAAGGCCUUCGGGUUGUAAAGCUCUUUUAGUCAGGAAAAAACAAAUGAUGGUACUGACAGAAACAGCACCGGCUAACUCUGUGCCAGCAGCCGCGGUAAUACAGAGGGUGCAAGCGUUAUUCGGAAUUAUUGGGCGUAAAGCGCAUGUAGGUGGUUUGGUAAGUCUGAUGUGAAAUCCCCGGACUCAAUUCGGGAAGUGCAUUGGAUACUGCUAGACUGGAGUAUGGGAGAGGUGAGCGGAAUUCCAGGUGUAGAGGUGAAAUUCGUAGAUAUCUGGAGGAACAACAGAGGCGAAGGCGGCUCACUGGACCAUUACUGACACUGAGAUGCGAAAGCGUGGGGAGCAAACAGGAUUAGAUACCCCUGUAGUC